AUUCCAUAGCCAUUUUGGCAUUCUGUCCACCUCCAUUAAUAUUAAAUGGGUUGUUUUAGAAUCACCCCCAAAAUGGUGGCAGUUGGAGGUGGCCAGUAGGCCAAACGGGCUCUGUGAA
rfam:Glycine soja cultivar W05 scaffold1966_27, whole genome shotgun sequence.